rnacentral:rRNA from 1 species
GACGAACGCUGGCGGCGUGCCUAAUACAUGCAAGUCGAGCGAACUUGCGGGAGCUUGCUCCCAAAAGUUAGCGGCGGACGGGUGAGUAACACGUGGGCAACCUGCCUAUAAGACUGGGAUAACUUCGGGAAACCGGAGCUAAUACCGGAUAAUUCUUUUCUACACAUGUAGAAAAGCUGAAAGACGGUUUACGCUGUCACUUAUAGAUGGGCCCGCGGCGCAUUAGCUAGUUGGUGAGGUAACGGCUCACCAAGGCCACGAUGCGUAGCCGACCUGAGAGGGUGAUCGGCCACACUGGGACUGAGACACGGCCCAGACUCCUACGGGAGGCAGCAGUAGGGAAUCUUCCGCAAUGGACGAAAGUCUGACGGAGCAACGCCGCGUGAGUGAUGAAGGUUUUCGGAUCGUAAAACUCUGUUGUUAGGGAAGAACAAGUACGAGAGUAACUGCUCGUACCUUGACGGUACCUAACCAGAAAGCCACGGCUAACUACGUGCCAGCCGCCGCGGUAA